UACGAAGGGGGCUAGCGUUGUUCGGAUUUACUGGGCGUAAAGCGCACGUAGGCGGACUUUUAAGUCAGGGGUGAAUCCGGGCGUCAACCCCGGAACUGCCUUUGAUACUGGAAGUCUUGAGUUCGAGAGAGGUGAGUGGAAUUGCGAGUGUAGAGGUGAAAUUCGUAGAUAUUCGCAGGAACACCAGUGGCGAAGGCGGCUCACUGGCUCGAUACUGACGCUGAGGUGCGAAAGCGUGGGGAGCAAACAGG
rnacentral:rRNA from 1 species